rnacentral:lncRNA from 1 species
UUUCGGGUUUGGGACCUGGUAGGGCUUGGUAUCUGUGUUUGCCCCUCCUCCUUGGAUGGCUGGGUUGGCCACUUGCCUGAGGGGUGCACUAACCCUCUCCGGAGGCCUGGCUCUGGGGACAGGAGUGGGCUGCAGGGAGAAGGAGCAGGAAGGAAGGAGGCAGAGGCAGUGCGGGGAGGGAGGGCGACUGUUGCCAUGGAAGGAGCUGCAAGGUAUUCUGGGAUCAAAAUUCUCACUGCAGAGGACUGGGUGGGGGGGCGGGUGGUUGGGGAAGGUGAUGGGGAAGCCAGUGCCUCUUUUGUCCUUGGCGCUUUCUGCAUCCCUGCAGACGGCGAAUGGUCCCCCCACACCCCCGAAGCUGGGCCUUCCGCAGCCCGGGCCCCCAGCAGUCCCCUCCCUGUCCUGCCGGUCCGCCUCGUGCACAGAAGGCAGUGAGUGGCCCCUUUCCAGGAGGCCUGUUUACCAGCACGACAACAGCAAAUUAGUGCUCUUAAAAGGCAUUCAGCAUUUAUCCCAGCAAACAAGCUCACCGCAAAGGGGGCCUGCAAUGCCUUCUCCCCGGAAUCUGCUGAACUGGGGUUUGUUGUGCAUCUUAAUCGACUUCCUUCCACCCACCACAUUAAAUGCAUUUAAUCUA